rnacentral:lncRNA from 1 species
AUGGGGAUGCAGGGGGUGCAGCACUUCCUCAUCGGGGUGCAGCAAACCACCAUGGGCUUCUUGACCACGCAGGAGCAGCAGGACAGGGACCCGCAGGGGCUGCAGCAGGGCCGUGGGACACAGCACGCAGUCUUCUGGCACACCUUGGUGCAGCACACGGACUGGCACGGGUUACAGCAGGUCUGGCACGGGUCGCAGCAAGGCUUCUGGCACGGGUCACAGCAGGUCUGGCAUGGGUCACAGCAGGUCUGGCACGGGUCACAGCAGGUCUGGCAUGGGUCACAGCAGGGCUUCUGGCAUGGGUCACAGCAAGUCUGGCACGGGUCACAGCACACAGUCUUCUGGCACGGGUCGCAGCGGCAAGAUUGCUGGCAUGGGGAGCAGCACACGGUCUUGCAGGGGCUGCAGCACACGGUCUUGCAGGGGCUGCAGCACACAGUCUUGCAGGGGCUGCAGCACAUGGGCUUGCAGGGGCUGCAGCACACGGUCUUGCAGGGGCUGCAGCACACGGUCUUGCUCUUCACGACAGAGCAGCAUCCCGUGGAACAGCAUCCAGUGGAACACAUGGUGUUGGGAGAGGAGCGAAGGGUGGCCGGAGCGAGGACCUGGAACACAAAGGACUUUGAGAUUCAGCCCAUCUUUCCACAGUGCCCAGGCCCUCAUCCCACCUCGCUUCCUAUUUCUUUGUCUUGAGUUGGAAACCCAAGAUCCUUGCAGGAAUCGAACCAACUGUUUCUCUGUCCCAGAGAUAUCUGAACUCUCCUGGGACCUGCCUGUGCUGUGCUCAUCCAGGACAUUCCCUCCCUGAAUUUCCACCCCAAGCACCUCCUUUUCCACUGUGCUCCCUCCACCUUUUCCAAGAGGCAGCAGUCAACAGAAAAAUUUCAGGGAGAGCUGUAGAUCAUGGAGCCCCCAGUAACCACAGAACACUGAAACCAUGGAAUUUCAAAACCUUGGAACCGUAAAACCAUGGAAUCACAAAGCCAUGGGAUCACAAACCUAUGGACACAUAAACCCAUGGAAUCACAAAGCUAUGGAACCGUAAUCCCAUGGACUCACAAACCUAUGGAACCAUAAACCCAUGGAACUAUAGACCCACGGAAUCACAAAGCCAUGGGAUCACAAACCCAUGGAACCAUAAACCCAUGGAAUCACAAACCAACAGAACCAAAGAACAUUUUGGAUGGGAAGACACCUUUGAAGGUCCAUCCAGCCCAAUGCCCUGCAGAGAUCAGACACAAAGACCCAGCCUCAAUUCAUCGCUUGCCCAAAGCCAAAUGAGAACCAAGGAUCCCAG